GGGCGCGGAAGCCUGUGGCGCGUCCCUCUCCGUCCUCCUGAAGGCCGAGAACCUGGCAGGAGACUUCAGCAAGCGACCCCACUUCUGUGAACCCAAGCUUCUUCACUCACUACCUGCAGGUGAUGAAAUGGUUUCAGGUCCGCUUGAGAGGAUCAAUGGUGACUAUCAGGCAACGGCCUGGUCCAACAGGAAGAGCCCAGUCUCCUCAGUAGACAGGCCAGAGGUCCUCCUGCAACUUCGGGGAGUGAAGGAGACAGGACACUGGGGUCUCCUCCACACAGUUCACGGCCCAGCCCAGGGCCAGGAAACCUUGUAAUCCAAGACACAAGCCACCUGGAAUCACAGCAUGUCUGAUGAAAGGAACCCCU